UUUCUUUUUUCUUCUUUCUCCCGCCUCCUUCUCCCCACCAUCAUCACCACCAGCAACAACAAAUAGCUCCGCGAAAACCCGAAGCAACACCUCCGUUACCACCAUCAGCAACACCUUUGUCUCCUCCGUCUCCUCCACGAACAAAUCCAUUUCUUUUUCUUCUAUUUUUAUGUUCAGAUCUAUCACCUCCUCUUCGUUCCGCACCACCACCAAAUCGACGACCAUUUCCAAGACCACCAUCACCUCCUCCUUAACUUCUUUAGGGUUUAUUUAUUCCUUCGUCAACACCAUAUCACUGUAGAACUUAGAGUUCCAAAUCACUUGAAAUAGAAGAAGAAAAAUAGGAAUUGGAUGUCAGUAAAAUAACAACAAAUCAACAUAUUGUUUGGCGAACUGGGAAUCUGGUGAUCAUCUCUUCGUCCAUUGAUUCACUUCUUCAAUAGUGGUUGUACAACCACAAACCAUGACUUCAAUCUGGGCUGCAGGUUGCUUUCCACAAACAACAAUGAAUUGCCCAAGAAGCUUAAUUGUUAUACAACGUUUUCAUAGAAACCUGGAAAAAAAAGUGGUCGUCGUCAACGGUGGUCUUUGGUGGUGGUGGUCGCCAACGGUGG